GAUGAACGCUAGCGGGAGGCCUAACACAUGCAAGCCGAGCGGUAGAGAUUCUUCGGAAUCUUGAGAGCGGCGUACGGGUGCGGAACACGUGUGCAACCUGCCUUUAUCAGGGGGAUAGCCUUUCGAAAGAAGAUUAAUACCCCAUAAUAUAUUUGAUGGCAUCAUUAGAUAUUGAAAGCUUUGGCGGAUAGAGAUGGGCACGCGCAAGAUUGGAUAGUUGGUGAGGUAACGGCUCACCAAGUCGAGGAUCUUUAGGGGGCCUGAGAGGGUGAUCCCCCACACUGGUACUGGGACACGGACCAGACUCCUACGGGAGGCAGCAGUGUGGAAUAUUGGACAAUGGGUUAGCGCCUGAUCCAGCCAUCCCGCGUGAAGGACGACGGCCCUAUGGGUUGUAAACUUCUUUUGUACAGGGAUAAACCUACUCUCGUGAGAGUAGCUGACGGUACUGUACGAAUAAGCACCGGCUAACUCCGUG
rnacentral:rRNA from 1 species